rnacentral:rRNA from 1 species
AUGGUGUAACCAUCUCUUGACUGUCUCGGCUAUAGACUCGGUGAAAUCCAGGUACGGGUGAAGACACCCGUUAGGCGCAACGGGACGGUAAGACCCCGUGAAGCUUUACUGUAGCUUAAUAUUGAUCAGGACAUUAUCAUGUAGAGAAUAGGUAGGAGCAAUCGAUGCAAGUUCGCUAGGACUUGUUGAUGCGAAAGGUGGAAUACUACCCUUGGUUGUGUGCUGUUCUAAUUGGUAACUGUUAUCCAGUUUCAAGACAGUGUUAGGUGGGCAGUUUGACUGGGGCGGUCGCCUCCUAAAAGGUAACGGAGGCGUACAAAGGUACCUUCAGUACGGUUGGAAAUCGUAUGUAGAGUGUAAUGGUGUAAGGGUGCUUGACUGUGAGACAUACAGGUCGAACAGGUGAGAAAUCAGGUCAUAGUGAUCCGGUGGUCCAGUAUGGAAUGGCCAUCGCUCAACGGAUAAAAGCUACUCCGGGGAUAACAGGCUGAUACUGCCCAAGAGUUCAUAUCGACGGCAGUGUUUGGCACCUCGAUGUCGACUCAUCUCAUCCUCGAGCUGAAGCAGGUUCGAAGGGUUCGGCUGUUCGCCGAUUAAAGAGAUACGUGAGUUGGGUUCAAACCGUCGUGAGACAGGUUGGUCCCUAUCUAUUGUGCCCGUAGGAAGAUUGAAGAGUGUUGCUUCUAGUACGAGAG